rnacentral:rRNA from 1 species
CUCGGGUUGAUCCCGCCGGACCCGACUGCUAUCAGAGUGGGACUAAGCCAUGCGAGUCAACGUAGCAAUACGUGGCAUACGGCUCAGUAACACGUAGUCAACAUGCCCAGGGGACGAGGAUAACCUCGGGAAACUGAGGAUAAACCUCGAUAGGCCAUGAUUUCUGGAAUGAUUCUUGGCUCAAACCUAUAUGGCCCCUGGAUUGGACUGCGGCCGAUCAGGCUGUUGGUGAGGUAAUGGCCCACCAAACCUAUUACCGGUACGGGCUCUGAGAGGAGGAGCCCGGAGAUGGGCACUGAGACAAGGGCCCAGGCCCUAUGGGGCGCAGCAGGCGCGAAACCUCUGCAAUAGGCGAAAGCUUGACAGGGUUACUCUGAGUGAUUUCCGCUAAGGGAAUCUUUUGGCACCUCUAAAAAUGGUGCAGAAUAAGGGGUGGGCAAGUCUGGUGUCAGCCGCCGCGGUAAUACCAGCACCCCGAGUGGUCGGGACGAUUAUUGGGCCUAAAGCAUCCGUAGCCGGUCCUGCAAGUCUUCCGUUAAAUCCAGCUGCUCAACAGAUGGGCUGCGGGAGAUACUACAGGGCUAGGAGGCGGGAGAGGCAAGCGGUACUUUAUGGGUAGGGGCAAAAUCCGCUGAUCCAUAGAAGACCACCAGUGGCGAAGGCGGCUUGCCAGAACGCGCUCGACGGUGAGGGAUGAAAGCUGGGGGAGCAAACCGGAUUAGAUACCCGGGUAGUCCCAGCUGUAAACGAUGCAGACUCGGUGAUGGGUUGGCCUCGCGCCUGCCCAGUGCCGCAGGGAAGCCGUUAAGUCUGCCGCCUGGGGAGUACGGUCGCAAGACUGAAACUUAAAGAAUUGGCGGGGGAGCA